GUCAAUUGAGGUGUUAAUUGAUGAAAGGAAGCCUUUAAAGCUUCGCUUGUAGAUGAGUCUGCGUCUUAUUAGCUAGUUGGUGGGAUAAGAGCCUACCAAGGCUAUGAUAAGUAACCGGCCUGAGAGGGUGAUCGGUCACACUGGAACUGAGAUACGGUCCAGACUCCUACGGGAGGCAGCAGCUAAGAAUCUUCCGCAAUGGGCGAAAGCCUGACGGAGCGACACUGCGUGAACGAAGAAGGUCGAAAGAUUGUAAAGUUCUUUUAUAAGUGAGGAAUAAGCUUUGUAGGAAAUGACAAAGUGAUGACGUUAAUUUAUGAAUAAGCCCCGGCUAAUUACGUGCCAGCAGCCGCGGUAAUACGUAAGGGGCGAGCGUUGUUCGGGAUCAUUGGGCGUAAAGGGUGAGUAGGCGGAUAUGCAAGUCUAUGUGUAAAAUACCACAGCUCAACUGUGGAACUAUGCUGGAAACUGCAUGACUAGAGUCUGAUAGGGGAAGUUAGAAUUCCUGGUGUAAGGGUGGAAUCUGUUGAUAUCAGGAAGAAUACCAGAGGCGAAGGCGAACUUCUAGGUCAAGACUGACGCUGAGUCACGAAAGCGUAGGGAGCAAACAGGAUUAGAUACCCUGGUAGUCUACGCUGUAAACGAUGCACACUUGGUGUUAAUCGAAAGGUUAGUACCGAAGCUAACGUGUUAAGUGUGCCGCCUGGGGAGUAUGUUCGCAAGAAUGAAACUCAAAGGAAUUGACGGGGGCCCGCACAAGCGGUGGAGCAUGUGGUUUAAUUCGAUGAUACGCGAGGAACCUUACCAGGGCUUGACAUAUACAGGAUAUAGUUAGAGAUGACUAUUCCCCGUUUGGGGUCUGUAUACAGGUGCUGCAUGGUUGUCGUCAGCUCGUGCCGUGAGGUGUUGGGUUAAGUCCCGCAACGAGCGCAACCCUUAUUGUCUGUUACCAGCAUGUAAAGAUGGGGACUCAGACGAGACUGCCGGUGAUAAGCCGGAGGAAGGUGAGGAUGACGUCAAAUCAUCAUGGCCCUUAUGUCCUGGGCUACACACGUGCUACAAUGGCCUGUACAAAGCGAUGCGAAACAGUGAUGUGAAGCAAAACGCAGAAAGCAGGUCUCAGUCCAGAUUGAAGUCUGAAACUCGGC
rnacentral:rRNA from 1 species